rnacentral:lncRNA from 1 species
UUACCUGAAUUAUUCGUUUCAAUUUUUCUUUUUUUUAAAACUUUAUAAUAGUUUUUGCCAUGGUAUAGAAAAAAAACUAAUCUUCUAACCAUGUAUAUAAUAAAUUAUAUUCGGGAGAAAGUAGAUAUCAUAAUACAAUAUUGGAUAUACAUAUGUAUAGAAGAACAUAUGGUCUCUAGCUAUAUACUUUAUGUAACCUCUCAUUAUGCUGAAAAUAUUGAUUAUUAAUUC